UGGGGAAUAUUGGACAAUGGGGGAAACCCUGAUCCAGCGACGCCGCGUGGGUGAAGAAGGCCUGCGGGUUGUAAAGCCCUUUCGGUAGGGACGAAAGCUCUUGCCCUAACACGGCAGGAGGUUGACUUAACCUACAAAAGAAGCACCGGCUAACUCUGUGCCAGCAGCCGCGGUAAUACAGAGGGUGCGAGCGUUAAUCGGAAUUACUGGGCGUAAAGCGCACGUAGUCGGCUUGGUAUGUCGGGUGUGA
rnacentral:rRNA from 1 species